GGACCUCACAUAUUACGGCCUCUGCCUGGAAAUGAAGCUCAUCCCGGGAAAAGAGGCAAGAGUGAUGGAGAGCGGGCGUGAGCAAUGGAGAGCGGGCAUGAGUGAUGGAGAGCACCCUCGUCUGAGCUCACGGACACUGCCUGAGUGAACGCAUGCUUGCUAUCUUCAGCACUUUUCAUGAAGCUGUGAGUGAAUGGAACACUAAUCUAAUUGGCUCAGAAGAAGAAGACUGCAGCAGAAGACUGGCUACAUUUACUUACUAAAUAAGUAAGUCUCAUUGGCUUCCUACUUCACGGGGCAGGCUUGGAAAGAAAGCCAGCAGGAGCAGGAAGCAAGUUCUUCUAGCGGCACGUGGAAUGCAAAUGUCCAAAUCUUGCACGUGGGAAAUAAAUCGAAUUUCUGAGGGUUAAAUGAAGAUCCCGUCAGUAUGGGGAAGGAGGCCCGGCCAAUGCUGGUGAAAACAGAGAGAAUCAUUCCUGCAACAGAGAGGGUCGUCCGGGCACUCAGGGUGUCCCUGGGACUUCUGGCUUCUCUGGACCCACGGUAGCAUUUGCUGGCGGUAGAAAAGCGGUUCUUGCUGGGUUAUUCUCACUGGUGCCUGCAGAGCUAUGAAAACAGGGAGGACAGCGCCGUCCGCCUCCUGGACAUUGAAGCCUCGGCUGGAAGUAGCUGUCCCCGAGAGCCUGCGCUCCACAGCUUGUUUUGGCCUUCAGAAAAAACGCUUUCUUUCUGUAGCUUAACUGCUUGGCCCUCGGGGCAGCCAGCUGUCGGACGCUGCUUGAGCAGAGGUCGUGGAGGGGUGAGUGAGCACAGGGAAACCUUUUAAUACAUAUUUUAUACACUUCACAUCACUAAUGGGAGCUACACAAACAGAUCCAUUUGAAUAUCCACCCCCUGGGGCUAUAUUUCUGUUACGAGUUUUCUGGUAACAGCAAGGAUCAAAAACUAAGAUGAUUCUUUUAAACACACCUGACUGACCAAAAAUAUGCAUAAAAUCUGCAACAUGGAAAAAAUUCUAUCUCUGCAUCUUACAGGUAUUAAAAUCCAGCUCCCUGCAUGCAUGCCCCAGUUUAAGCAGAUGGCUGAUUCUAUCCUCGUCAUCCUGAACUUUGUAGCUUUCUUUAAGAGAUGAUAAAUUAGGGAACAAAAGGAUCUUCCUUUCCAUGACAGCAGCACUUUUGGGAGGCUGAGCAUGUACCUCUGACUCAAGGCUGAGUUAUUAUAAGAAAAACAGAAAAGGAAGGAAGAAGGUUUUAAUUUCCCACUGUUGAAGACAGUUUGUCAGGAUGAGAGACAGACAGACGGAGCGAGCACAGACCUGCGCUUCUCUUCGGGGAUGAAUAGGGCAAGUGUUUCAUUCAUGACGUCUUCAAAGCGUUGCCCGGAAUGCAAAGUGACAUGGUUUUUCUGGAAUACUAGUCUGUUUGAAAGGCCAAGGAAAGGUGAUACAUUUUGAAUGCACAUUUGGGUGACUUCAAGGUCUCCUUCUAUAACCAGAAUGGAGAUGUCCCUGAAAGGCUGUCUACAGAGAAAAAGAAAUCUGGUUAAAAUUCCAU